AUUGAACGCUGGCGGCAGGCCUAACACAUGCAAGUCGAGCGAGCGGAGGGGGGGAGUGAAAGGUCUGGGAAACGGCUUGAUGGAGGGGGAAAACAAAUGGAAACGGAAGCUAAUACCGCAUAGCAUCAGAUGUGCAUAGAUGGGAUUGGCGAGUAGGUGGGGUAAGGGCAAACCUAGACGACGAUCCCUAGCUGGUCUGAGAGGAUGACCAGCCACACUGGAACGGAGCCACGGUCCGAACUCCUACGGAGGGCAGCAGUGGGGAAUAUUGCCCAAUGGGCGCAAGCCUGAUGCAGCCAUGCCGCGUGUGUGAAGAAGGCCUUCGGGUUGUAAACCCCUUUCAGCGAGGAGGCGUUACCCACCGAGGAAGCGCCGGCUAACUCCGUGCCAGCAGCCGCGGUAAUAC
rnacentral:rRNA from 1 species